rnacentral:tRNA from 1 species
GCGGCUGUAGCUCAGCUGGUAGAGCACGACCUUGCCAAGGUCGGGGUCACGAGUUCGAGUCUCGUUAGCCGCUCCA